UUUGAGUUCGAGAACAAUUAAUAUCAAUAACCUCUAAAAACCCAAAUUAAGUUAUUUACUUAUCAUAUCUGCGAUUAUACCUGAAUCUAACCAUUCUCUCACUUGUUAACAACCUCAAACAAAUCAAUCAAGCAAUAACUUUGCUCGCCAAUUCAUUUACUGCUUUAAAAAUCUCUAAAUCUAACUUUAAUUCGAAAGACUAUAAAUCUACUGUGUAAUCCUAGAGUCUUUGUGGAUUUGAUCCCUAAAUACUACAUCUGAACCUCUUAUUUGAGAGAGUAAUUCACUUCUUAGGGUAAUCUGAGUGAUAUCAAAUUUGGCGCCGUUGCCGGAGACUCUUUCUUAUCACCAUUAGAUUAAGUUUAGAAUUUAGUCUAGAUUUUUGUUAC
rnacentral:lncRNA from 1 species